rnacentral:rRNA from 1 species
AUUGAACGCUGGCGGCAGGCCUAACACAUGCAAGUCGAGCGGAUGAAGGGAGCUUGCUCCUGGAUUCAGCGGCGGACGGGUGAGUAAUGCCUAGGAAUCUGCCUGGUAGUGGGGGAUAACGUCCGGAAACGGGCGCUAAUACCGCAUACGUCCUGAGGGAGAAAGUGGGGGAUCUUCGGACCUCACGCUAUCAGAUGAGCCUAGGUCGGAUUAGCUAGUUGGUUGGGUAAAGGCCUACCAAGGCGACGAUCCGUAACUGGUCUGAGAGGAUGAUCAGUCACACUGGAACUGAGACACGGUCCAGACUCCUACGGGAGGCAGCAGUGGGGAAUAUUGGGCAAUGGGCGAAAGCCUGAUCCAGCCAUGCCGCGUGUGUGAAGAAGGUCUUCGGAUUGUAAAGCACUUUAAGUUGGGAGGAAGGGCAGUAAGUUAAUACCUUGCUGUUUUGACGUUACCAACAGAAUAAGCACCGGCUAACUUCGUG